UUGUGGUUAGAGUAUCCACCCUGAGAUUGGAAGAUUGGGAGUUUGACCCCUGGCCGAGUCAUACCAAAGACUGGGAAACUGGGACCCAGUGCAUCUCUGCUUGACAAUCAGCAUUAAUGAAAUAGAUUGGGGGUAAAUCCCUGCGAUAGACUCGUUUCCUGUCCAGGGGGUGUCCUGUACAUCAAAACUGUCUCACUACAGAAACAGGCGAUAGACUAGCGUCCUGUCCAGGGGGUGCCCUGGUACAUCAAGCUGUCUCACUACAGAAACAAGAGAUAGACUAGCGUCCUGUCCAGGGGGUGCCCUGGUACAUCAAGCUGUCUCACUACAGAAACAAGAGAUAGACUAGCGUCCUGUCCAGGGGGUGCCCUGGUACAUCAAGCUGUCUCACUACAGAAACAGGAGAUAGACUAGCGUCCUGUCCAGGGGGUGUCCUGGUACAUCAAAGCUGUCUCACUACAGAAACAGGAGAUAGACUAGCGUCCUGUCCAGGGGGUGUCCUGGUACAUCAAGCUGUCUCACUACAGAAACAGGAGAUAGACUAGCGUCCUGUCCAGGGGGUGUACUGGUACAUCAAGCUGUCUCACAGGAUGACAGACUAACCCAGGUUUAUCCCCACACAGACUGGUACAGGAUGACAGACUAACCCAGGUUUAUCCCCACACAGACUGGUACAGGAUGACAGACUAACCCAGGUUUAUCCCCACACAGACUGGUACAGGAUGACAGACUAACCCAGGUUUAUCCCCACACAGACUGGUACAGGAUGACAGACUAACCCAGGUUUAUCCCCACACAGACUGGUACAGGUAUGGAUGACAGACUAACCAAGGUUUAUCCCCACACAGACUGGUACAGGAUGACAGACUAACCCAGGUUUAUCCCCACACAGACUGGUACAGGAUGACAGACUAACCCAGGUUUAUCCCCACACAGACUGGUACAGGUAUGGAUGACAGACUAACCCAGGUUUAUCCCCACACAGACUGGUACAGGUAUGGAUGACAGACUAACCCAGGUUUAUCCCCACACAGACUGGUACAGGAUGACAGACUAACCCAGGUUUAUCCCCACACAGACUGGUACAGGUAUGGAUGACAGACUAACCCAGGUUUAUCCCCACACAGACUGGUACAGGAUGCCAGACUAACCCAGGUUUAUCCCCACACAGACUGGUACAGGAUGCCAGACUAACCCAGGUGUAUCCCCACACAGACUGGUACAGGUAUGGAUGACAGACUAACCCAGGUUUAUCCCCACACAGACUGGUACAGGUAUGGAUGACAGACUAACCCAGGUUUAUCCCCACACAGACUGGUACAGGAUGACAGACUAACCCAGGUUUAUCCCCACACAGACUGGUACAGGUAUGGAUGACAGACUAACCUCGGCACACUGGACCUUAGCGAUGUACCCGUUGUUCUGGAGCUCCAUCCAGUUAGC